UACGUAGGGUGCGAGCGUUGUCCGGAAUUACUGGGCGUAAAGAGCUCGUAGGUGGUUUGUCGCGUUGUUCGUGAAAACUCACAGCUUAACUGUGGGCGUGCGGGCGAGUACGGGCAGACUGGAGUACUGCAGGGGAGACUGGAAUUCCUGGUGUAGCGGUGGAAUGCGCAGAUAUCAGGAGGAACACCGGUGGCGAAGGCGGGGUCUCUGGGCCGUAAGCUGGACGCGUGAGGAGCGAAAGCGUGGGGAGC
rnacentral:rRNA from 1 species